rnacentral:rRNA from 1 species
CUUGGUCAUUUAGAGGAAGUAAAAGUCGUAACAAGGUUUCCGUAGGUGAACACCUUUUCCAGGUUCGCCCAAACAAGUCUGUGCUUAGCAGGCAACAUCUCUACUGUGCUAGGAUUCACAAAUAUUGUGAUACCAGCAGCCUAGAAAUGGGCUCACAGGUCAAAUAGAGGUGGCCCUAUGGGGUUAAGAUAUGAUCGAGUUCCUGCUUGAGAUAGCAGGUAUUCCCACGCUGCGGAAGGAUCAUUACAGAGAACAUGCCCUUCGGGGUAUACCUCCCACCCUUUGUCUACAAUACCUUUGUUGCUUUGGCAGGCCUGUCUCACGACUACUGGCUUUAGCUGGUCCGUGCCUGCCAGAGGACCCAACACUCUUUUAUUAUGUCGUCUGAGUACUAUAAAAAUAGUUAAAACUUUCAACAACGGAUCUCUUGGUUCUGGCAUCGAUGAAGAACGCAGCGAAAUGCGAUAAGUAAUGUGAAUUGCAGAAUUCAGUGAAUCAUCGAAUCUUUGAACGCACAUUGCGCCCCUUGGUAUUCCGAGGGGCAUGCCUGUUCGAGCGUCAUUAUGACCACUCAAGCCUAGCUUGGUAUUGGGGUUCGCGGUCUCGCGGCUCUUAAAAUCAGUGGCGGUGCCAUCUGGCUCUAAGCGUAGUAAUUCUCUCGCUAUAGGGCUCCGGUAGUUGCUUGCCAAAACCCCCCUAUUUCUCACGGUUGACCUCGGAUCAGGUAGGGAUACCCGCUGAACUUAAGCAUAUCAAUAAGCGGAGGA